GCAAUAUCUUGUUCAGAACAGUUUCUUUUCUUUCUUUCUUUUUUUUUUUUCAGACAGUCUCACUUUCUUGCCCAGGCUGGAGUGCAGUGGUUCCAUCUCGACUCACUGCAACUUCCGCCUCCCAGGUUCAAGCCAUUCUCCUGCCUCUUGCCUCAGCCUCUGGAGUAGCUGAGAUAACAGGUGGAGUCUUGCUCUGUCUCCAGGCUGGAGUGCAGUGGCACAGUCUCCGCUCACUGCAACCUCUGUCUCCCUUUCAAGUCAUUCUCCUGCCUCAGCCUCCCGAGUAGCUGGAACUACAGGUGAGUGCCACGAUGCCCAGCUAAUUUUUAUAUUUUUAGUAGAGAUGGGCUUUCUCCAUGUUGUCCAGGAUAGUAUUGAUCUCUUGACCUCAUGAUCUGCCCACCUCAGCCUCAUAAAGUGCUGAGAUUACAGGUGUGAACCACCAGACCCACCCAUUUACUUCAUUGCUCAGCACCCCUCAUUUCAUCUCAUUGGUUCUCAACAAUUCUAAUCACUUUUUGUGAGAGCAAAAUUUCUUUUAGAUAAAACAAAUAAAUGUGUUUUUAAUUUGAGCCUCUCUUUUGUG
rnacentral:lncRNA from 13 species